GCCCCCUGAAUUGUAGUCUAGGAAGGCGCCAUCGGCCAAGCCCGUCGCUCAAAUCCCUUGGAACAGGGUAUCGGAGAAGGUGAGAAUCCUGUGCCGUGGCGGAGCUUGGCCGCACGAUGCGCUCUUGUCGAGUCGGGCUGCUUGGGAUUGCAGCUUGAAGUGGGUGGUAAAUUCCAUCUAAAGCUAAAUAUUGGCGGGAGACCGAUAGCGAACAAGUACCGUGAGGGAAAGAUGCAAAGAACUUCGAAAAGAGAGUUAAAGAGUGCUUGAAAUUGGCAGGAGGAAACCCGGUUGCGCGUGGCAUUUGGCGUGGUCGACUCAGCCGCGCGCGGAGAUCUGUAGGGGACCUAACGGCCUCGUGGUCAGCGCGCGCGGUGCACUUCGGCCGCGUCGGUCAGCCGCGUUUCUGUGCGGCCCAGACGGCCGCGGGCAGGGCUUCGGCGCAGCCUGCGGUUUGGGGGUCGCGCGGGAUCCCGGCUGAUGCGCACGGGCGCAACCGACCCGUCUAGAAACACGGACCAAGGAGUCUGACGCGUGUGCGAGUACUAGAGUGGCAAGCUCGAGUGCGCAAUGAAAGUGAAGGGCGUGCCCCGUCAACCGAUCUUGAUCUUCUGUGAAGGGUUUGAGUGGAGCACAUCUGUCGGGACCCGAAAGAUGGUGAACUAUGCCUGAGGAGGGUGAAGCCAGAGGAAACUCUGGUGGAGGCUCGUAGCGAUACUGACGUGCAAAUCGUUCGUCGAACUUGGGUAUAAGGGCGAAAGACUAAUCGAACCAUCUAGUAGCUGGUUCCCUCCGAAGUUUCCCUCAGGAUAGCUUGAACGCCGACGGUUUUG
rnacentral:rRNA from 1 species